CACCAUCCAAAUCAGCCUGAAAAACCGGCAGCCAGCCCACACAAAUCACACUACUCUGCUAAGUAAUAGUUGCUGAGGCCCAGAGGGAGGCUAUUGAAAACUGGAGCAACACACCUGCUGCUUUUCACUAACGGACAGUUGAAACAACCGAUCGCCCUGGACUACGUGGCGCUGCUGCAAGUGGGACCUGCCACAUACCCGUUCUCCCCCCCUCCCCCUCUGGACCGGUGGGGGAUAUCCCGGUCCCCACUGAGGCAACAAAUGCCAAAGCAGCAAUCCACUUGCAGCAACG